rnacentral:rRNA from 1 species
AGCAGCCGCGGUAAUUCCAGCUCCAAUAGCGUAUAUUAAAGUUGUUGCAGUUAAAAAGCUCGUAGUUGAAUUUCGGGAUUGACACAUCGGUCGUGCCUUAAGGGGUAUGAACUGGUGUAGUCAAUUUCUCACCUUCUGGAGAACCGCGAUGUCCUUAAUUGGGUGCCGCGAGGAACCAGGACCUUUACUUUAGAAAAAUUAGAGUGUUUAAAGCAGGCAUUUUGCUUGAAUACAUUAGCAUGGAAUAAUAAAAUAGGACGGAUGAUUCUAUUUUGUUGGUUUCUAGGACCACCGUAAUGAUUAAUAGGGAUAGUUGGGGGCAUUAGUAUUCAAUUGUCAGAGGUGAAAUUCUUGGAUUUAUUGAAGACUAACUACUGCGAAAGCAUUUGCCAAGGAUGUUUUCAUUAAUCAAGAACGAAAGUUAGGGGAUCGAAGACGAUCAGAUACCGUCGUAGUCUUAACCAUAAACUAUGCCGACUAGGAAUCAGACGAUGUUAAUUUUUUAAUGACUCGUUUGGCA